rnacentral:lncRNA from 1 species
AAAGAAUGGGUUUUGAGAGGUUGAAGAAGGUAUAAAUGGUGAAAAGGCAAAUCUGACUAUUACUUCAUGGCGCCCGCCAUGAAGCUUAUGGCGCUCGCCAUGUCUUUGGAUUUGGUUUGGGCUGACUAUGCUGUUUGCUUCUUGGGCCUCAAUUCUCUCGUCUUCAUUUUUGUAAUGGGGGGUGUAUAUAGGUAUCCAUGAAUGCUGUUUUUUU